rnacentral:rRNA from 1 species
CGCGAAUGGCUCAUUACAACAGCUAAAAUCUACUUGAUCUUGACACAAUCCUACUUGGAUAACUGUGGUAAUUCUAGAGCUAAUACAUGCAUUAAAGCUCUGACCUCACGGGAAGAGUGCACUUAUUAGAACAAAACCAAGCGGCUUCGGCUGUUUCUGGUUGACUCAUAGUAACUGAGCUGAUCGCAUGGUCUUGCACCGGCGACGUGUCUUUCAAGUAUCUGCCGUAUCAACUUUCGAUGGUAGUGUAUCUGACUACCAUGGUGAUCACGCGUAACGGAGAAUAAGGGUUCGGCUCCGGAGAGUUCGCCUGAGAAAUCGCGAACACAUCUAAGGAAGGCAGCAGGCGCGAAAAUUACCCACUCUCAGCACGAGGAGGUAGUGACGAAAAAUAACGAGACCGUUCUCUUAUGAGGCCGGUCAUCGGAAUGGGUACAAUUUAAACCCUUUAACGAGUAUCUAUGAGAGGGCAAGUCUGGUGCCAGCAGCCGCGGUAAUUCCAGCU